rnacentral:rRNA from 1 species
AAUCAACGCUGGCGGCGUGCCUAACACAUGCAAGUCGAACGCGAAAGCCCUUUCGGGGGCAAGUAGAGUGGCGUCCGGGUGAGUAACACGUAGGUAAUCUACCUUCGGGUGGGGAAUAACUCGCCGAAAGGCGAGCUAAUACCGCAUAAUGCAGCGGCACCUAAUGGUGAUUAGUUGUUAAAGCGGGGGAUCGUAAGACCUCGCGCCUGAAGAGGAGCCUGCGGCAGAUUAGCAGUUGGUGAGGUAAUGGCUCACCAAGGCUUCGAUCUGUAGCUGGUCUGAGAGGACGGCCAGCCACACUGGCACUGACACACGGGCCAGACUCCUACGGGAGGCAGCAGUGGGGAAUUUUGGGCAAUGGGCGCAAGCCUGACCCAGCAACGCCGCGUGAGGGAGGAAAU